rnacentral:rRNA from 1 species
CACCGGCUAACUCCGUGCCAGCAGCCGCGGUAAUACGGAGGGUGCGAGCGUUAAUCGGAAUUACUGGGCGUAAAGCGUGCGUAGGUGGUUCGUUAAGUCAGAUGUGAAAGCCCUGGGCUCAACCUGGGAACUGCAUNUGAAACUGGCGGACUAGAGUUUAGUAGAGGGGAGUGGAAUUUCAGGUGUAGCGGUGAAAUGCGUAGAUAUCUGAAGGAACACCAGUGGCGAAGGCGACUCCCUGGACUAAAGCUGACGCUGAGGUACGAAAGCGUGGGUAGCCAACAGGAUUAGAUACCCUGGUAGUCCACGCCGUAAACGAUGUCGACUAGCCGUUGGUCCUAUAUACAGGAUUAGUGGCGCAGCUAACGCAUUAAGUCGACCGCCUGCGG